ACUUCAAGAUGAGUUAGAAAUGAAUCCAUCAUGGCCGCCGUUCCUUUUUUCUUACCCCUACCCCUUUUUCCAGUCAGUAGUCGUUUGUAUGGUGGCUGGAUCACUUGUGCAUGUUGCUUCCGGAUCUGCUUUCCAAAUUUGUUUGGUGCUUAAACAAUGUUAUUCAAACUUUUCCUCUGUUAACAGAAAGAUAUAGUGUCGUACUGUUUUUUAGCUUGUGCAUUGACAGAAAUGUUACUGGAUACUUUACACCUUCGUGGUCUGUGCUUUACAUAAAGUGAUUCGAAAAUCGGCAAACUAUACAAGAGAUCGUACGGGGCACAUUGAAACAGUUCCUUAUGUUUUGUCAUUUUAUGCGGUUUUCUGAUGAAUAUGCAUUGGAAUGUUGACGAAUUUCAUCUAUCGGAUCGCCUCCUACCCGGAUUAGAUUGACGGAGUACACCAACCAUCCGGAUGAAAACUGCCAUUCAUGAAUCGCCAUGCAGAGCUCGAUGCGACGUGGUGACCAUCUUUUCUUUUUCGAGGACCUUGAAGAAAUGACACCACUCUUUGUCCUUCACGCUUGAAGGCCGCGGGAAACAUUACGUAAAACUGGCAUGCGGUGGUAUAGAGGUUGGGU